AGGACGAACGCUGGCGGCGUGCUUAACACAUGCAAGUCGAGCGGAAAGGCCCUUCGGGGUACUCGAGCGGCGAACGGGUGAGUAACACGUGAGCAACCUGCCCUUGGCUCUGGGAUAGCCUCCGGAAACGGGGAUUAAUACCGGACAUUCACUUUCUCCUGCAUGGGGGUUGGUGGAAAGUUUUUCGGCCAGGGAGGGGCUCGCGGCCUAUCAGCUUGUUGGCGGGGUAACGGCCCACCAAGGCGACGACGGGUAGCCGGCCUGAGAGGGCGAUCGGCCACACUGGGACUGAGACACGGCCCAGACUCCUACGGGAGGCAGCAGUGGGGAAUAUUGCACAAUGGCGCAAGCCUGAUGCAGCGACGCCGCGUGGGGGAUGGAAGGCCUUCAGGUUGUAAACCCCUUUCACCAGGAGCGAAUUCAGACGGUACCUGGGGAAGAAGCGCCGACUAACUACGCGCCAGCAGCCGC
rnacentral:rRNA from 1 species